ACAAAAUGUAACUUAACCUAAAGUAUUCCGCUUACACCGUAACUAUAUCUGUUAAACCCAGAUCAUUUUGA
rnacentral:tRNA from 1 species